rnacentral:rRNA from 1 species
GAUCAUGGCUCAGGAUGAACGCUGGCGGCGUGCUUAACACAUGCAAGUCGAGCGAAGCACUUAGGAAAGAUUCUUCGGAGGAUUUCCUAUUUGACUGAGCGGCGGACGGGUGAGUAACGCGUGGGUAACCUGCCUCAUACAGGGGGAUAACAGUUAGAAAUGACUGCUAAUACCGCAUAAGACCACAGCACCGCAUGGUGCGGGGGUAAAAACUCCGGUGGUAUGAGAUGGACCCGCGU